CUUUCUCUCUCUUCACUUUAGUAGAGAACAGCAGUAACAAAUCGAGAUGCCUCUUUUAAAUACCACUCACACAUGAAAAUAUAAGACCUUCAAAUACCAUUCUCAACCAACAGCCUGAAACAAAUCUGACCACCACCAAGUCUCGGUGGCAACGGAGAACAGCAGCAGCAACACCGCCACCAUGGCGGCGACGGCGAAAAAACACCCCCUGUUUCCGGCGACACAAACACCCCUUGUUUCCGGGCACAAAACACCCCCUGUUUCCAGCGACAACCCACGGCGGCGACGACGACGAACAGAGAGACGGAGAAAAACAGAGAGAGAAAGAAGUAUCGGGGUUAUGGAGGGAGCCUGACGGCGGAUGCGCCGCCACUGAAGGCGGUGGCGGUGGGGGCUCACUGCGUAGGUCGCCGGCGCCGGUCAAAUUCGAGCCGACAGCCCGAUUUCUUUAGGAUUUCUCCGGUCAUGAUGUUCGAUGAGCGAUGAUGACGUUAAUGGUUAUGACUGUUGGCCGGCGUCGGUUACGUCACGGCAGGCCUGUUGGAUGGUCAACUGAAGUCAACCGCAGAUCGUUAGGGGUUAGGGUUCGUUGGUUCAGUUGUGUGUCAGGGGAUUAUUUUGGGUUUGCCCAGUUCAGUUUCGGCUCGGAUCUUGGUUCAUUUCCGGUUCGACAUAGGUCAGUUACGGUUCAGUCGGUUCAAGUUCGGUUCAACAAGAAAACAGGGCGGUGACACAGUUCAGUAGCGGGUGGGUUUUCGGCUCGUCGCGGUGCUACUCUGGUCAGUUUCGGGGUUUGGUUUGGGUCGAAACGAUACUUUAAUAACUUGUUACGUUUGGUAUUUUGAUAGAAAUUUUAUAUAUUAUGUUUAUAUUGUUGAAAA